GAUGAACUGUAUGCUGUGCGUUAGAGUGAAAGAGAAAGCAUGCUAAGUAUUUUCAUCGAAGUUUCGCUCAGCAUGCUAUCUCGUUCUUUCGUGAUUGUGAAAAUUUGGAAGAACUGUCAAAGUGCCAAACAGCCAUAUUGAUUUUGGACAAGUUUGUACAAGUCGGGAAAAUUUUGAAAAAAAAAACAGUUUUACGGUGAGUUAAUCCUUUUAUUUCUGCAUAAAUUUGUUUGAUUAAAAAUUCUUCUGUUUUAAGCCAUGCAACCUGCUGCUAAACAAAAAUGACUCCGUGCCUGCAUCGCCGACCGGAACCUGCCUGCAAGUGCCAACCCUUGGAAGGACAAUCUCUGCCGGAAAUGGCCAACUCAAUCCGUAGUGCCAGCUGAGCUCGGGGAAAAUGGCCACGGUGAAUUUCAACUCCAAAGAUGCCCCCGGAACCUGAUCCGGAUCAACUGCAAGGAAGCCAACCGUGCUUGAAUCUGCCCUGGGAACUGAACCGGAAAAGCCCGUUCUGUGUCCAGCUCUUUGACCGGGAAGAAUGUGAAAGCCAAACGCCGCGGCGUACAUCCGUUUCGACCUAGACGACACCGGCCACCACCUGGCUUCUGAUAAUGGUUCCGUGACUGUUCGCAGACGUAGUUGGGUGGUAAAUAUUGUGACUCGUACGGAGGAUGCGGAAGAGGUGGCGGCCGCGGCAUCGCGAACAAACGCAACCUCCAAGAUUGGGCAUUCGCAGCAGUGAGACCAGCAUCGGGCUGCUCCAUUCAUGAAGUCGUUCAAUGACCCACCACAACCGCCACCGCCCUCGCAACAGAAUGGCCACAUCGGCCGGCGUCGGAGGUCUUGAACUGGACGCCAAGACCAAGACCAAGUUUCGUCGCGAGUAAGCGCCGGGGCCAAUUCGUCGUCCGCCUAAGAACUUCCACAUUAAUCUGCCGCAGAGGUUCCAGAAGCGUAAGGCAGAGCGAAAACCUUCCGGAAAAGUCUGUAGGGAAGUCAACCGAAAGCCGGUGGUAGCGGAACCAAUGUUGCGAGAUUUUAGUUCAAAUAAUUUUGCACCACCCCAAAAAGUGGGUUUUUAUGAUGGAGAUGGAUCGACCAGGACGUCGACCGGAGAUGACAUAUGGCACAUCGGCGGAAUCGACCUCGCUUGACGGAACCAUACUUCCGUUACGCUCAAAUCGGCACCGGCCGCCAUCAGGGGCAAAGCAUCGUUUACGAUUCAAGCCUUGAGAACAUGGCCAAGGUCGGGGUCGGUGACCUGAGCCGGUCAAAUCGAGACCAGAGUCAAUAACAAGACGAUUCCGGGAGGCCAUCAACGGAAUCUGGCGAUGCAGGUUGUAAGCCGAUUGCGGCCAUGAAGACGAUAGCUGGCAGGAUCUGUUGUUCCAGAACAUAGAAGGUUUUUUUUUGUGAGAAAAAUUCCAAAUUAAUUAAAAAAAAAACUUAUCAUAACUCCAUACUUGUACUCUCUCCCUAUAGAUUUGCAGCGUCUCUAUCAGUGGCAUCGGCACCAUUCGGGACUCCUCCGACGAUAGCGUGGUCAACACUACGAGGAACGUUCUGACACCGAGAUCAAGAAGGAAGCUUGAAAGAAUCCUCAGCGACCGGAAGACCAUAAGCUGACACUUAACAAAACAAGCAGCAGCAGCAAGCUCCGUUCGUCAACCCGCCAAGGAUUGUCGUUCAGCGGCCCACCAUCGACCUGUACGCCGAGGUCAAGGAACGUCUCAUGUUGCGUCGCGAGAAGGACCUGUGAAGGGAGAUGGAACGCAAGCAGGCCGCGGCCGGGAAUCUGCAGGAGCUGGAGCAGAAGCUGAAAAGCAAGAUGGUGAAGACGGAGGACAGGCGUCACAGGAAGUGCGCCAGAUUAACCCCACGACUGCAGCUGCCACAGGUGACCUGGCCCUCCUGGGAACAUCGAACGCCGCCGCUCAAUUCCGUUGUUGUUCCGCCACCGCCACCAAGAAGCCCCUCUAAAAUGGUCAAUCCAGUGAAGGUGAAUUUAGCACUGACCAACAAAAUCAAAUGUCAAUCGCUGAAUCGGGUGAUACACUUGGGGACAAAGUCGGAAAACAAGGACCAGAUCCUGCUUCCCGGUUUAUACCAUGAUCAACGUUAGCCAGAACUGUCGUUAGGAGGACUACAGGGCGGUCAGUUUACCUCCUUGGACGGAUUUUAACUCCCGGGAGUUUAGUUCCAGAAUCAAACAACGGCCUCGCAGCUAAAACACCUUGGAGGUCAACCAAUGCCCUGUAAGGACAGCUCAAAAAACCUGCUUGAUCCCAGCCUGCUUCACUACGAGGGAAGCAAUGGGGCCACGACCGAGAACCGAGGGGUCCGUAGCGCUGCCCACCGGACAGAAAGGAACUGGCCUCGCGAGCAGCAAAAAGCAAGUCACGUUCCGUCCCAUCCCGGCGAAGCGUAGGAACCGGUGAGCAGUCUACAUCCUCAGCUCCGAUGGAAGGUCAUGUGCCCUCGGAACGAAAGAUCAACCGGAACCGGUUCACGUUCCCGGUCAAUUCUUUUGGUUCUUGCAAUCCGGAACUGCCACGCGCAAUCGGGCUCGCGGAACGGUCGCCAUAGCUCUGGAUUAGAUUCGCCGGACGGCGGCCAACCUUUAAGUGCUCUCAAAACAAUGCUGCAUGGAAGGUUGUUGGACGGUCGCCAAACUGCAAGUUCCCUCGGAAUUACACUGGACGGAACAGGCUCGCCGGACGGUCACCGCCCUGCAAGUGCGCUCGGCACGAUGGACUAAAACCUGCACGGACGCGCCAAGUCAAGAUCUAACGAAUCCGGUCCACAAUCCUGGCCUAUUGUUUGACUAAUUUCGGUUCACGCAAUCCGGAAUUGCCAAGUGAAACGGCAAUAGACCUCGAGGUUCUGUCGGAAAGAGGCAGCACGGAACAGGACUGCCGGGCGGUUGCCAACCUACAAGUGCUUUCGGAACAACGCUGGACGGACAUGGUCCCUGGAAAUUCGUUCUGAAAGACGCAACACGGAACAGACACGACGCCCUGCAAGUUUCCCUCGGAACGUCGCUCAUGGACUGGCUCGGCGGACGGUCGCCGCCCUGCAGGGGCCUCGGAAUCACGGAUGAAAUGCUGCACGAACGCGUCCAGGUCUAAAUCAACCGGAACCGGUCCUCACGUGCCUGGAGCGUUCCCUUGAAGACUGUCCAACCGGUGAAUUGAUGUGCAUUAGACUAAAUUAACUUAUUGCUUACAAUUUUAUGAAAAUAAACAAAUCGAAACGCGAAAAUUGCAGUUUUAAUAUCAACAAAUCAAAUGACAGCUGAAAGAAAAACAAGAAGAAGAGCACAAAAAAGUGGUUGAUGCGCGUCCGAUUUUUCACCCCUACGUCGUUCUUACAUCGCCCCCGCACGUAGGCCUCUUGCGAUGUUCGAACAACCUUGACAGGUUGACGUUUCGGGUGCAAAAUACCUUGAUUCGGGUCUGAUGCGUGUCUCAAAAUCAGACCCGCAUCGGCCCCUGUAGGACUGAUCGUCGCUCUGACGAUCAGACCCGAUCGGCCCCGUAUUUCUC